rnacentral:rRNA from 1 species
AACGAACGCUGGCGGCAUGCCUAACACAUGCCAGUCGAACGAGACCAUCGGGUCUAGUGGCGCACGGGUGCGUAACGCGUGGGGACCUGCCCUUAGGUUCGGAAUAACUCCCCGAAAGGGGUGCUAAUACCGGAUAAUGUCUUCUGACCAAAGAUUUAUCGCCCUUGGAUGGGCCCGCGUUGGAUUAGAUAGUUGGUAGGGUAAAAGCCUACCAAGGCGACGAUUCAUAGCUGGUCUGAGAGGAAGGUCAGCCACACUGGGACUGAGACACGGCCCAGACUCCUACGGGAGGGAGGAGUGGGGGAUAUAGGACAGUGGGCGAAAGCCUGAUGCAGCAAGGACGGGUGAGUGCUGUAGGCCGUAGAGUUGUAAAGCGCUUUUAACCGGGAUGAUAAUGACGGUACCGGGAGAGUAAGCCCCGGCUAACUACGUG